rnacentral:rRNA from 1 species
UACGUAGGGUGCAAGCGUUGUCCGGAAUUAUUGGGCGUAAAGAGCUCGUAGGCGGUUCGUCACGUCGGCUGUGAAAUCCCGAGGCUCAACCUCGGGUCUGCAGUCGAUACGGGCGGACUUGAGUACUGCAGGGGAGACUGGAAUUCCUGGUGUAGCGGUGAAAUGCGCAGAUAUCAGGAGGAACACCGGUGGCGAAGGCGGGUCUCUGGGCAGUAGCUGACGCUGAGGAGCGAAAGCGUGGGGAGCGAACAGG